AUUGAACGCUGGCGGCAGGCCUAACACAUGCAAGUCGAACGGUAACAGGAAGAAGCUUGCUCCUUUGCUGACGAGUGGCGGACGGGUGAGUAAUGUCUGGGAAACUGCCUGAUGGAGGGGGAUAACUACUGGAAACGGUAGCUAAUACCGCAUAACGUCGCAAGACCAAAGAGGGGGACCUUCGGGCCUCUUGCCAUCGGAUGUGCCCAGAUGGGAUUAGCUUGUUGGUGGGGUAACGGCUCACCAAGGCGACGAUCCCUAGCUGGUCUGAGAGGAUGACCAGCCACACUGGAACUGAGACACGGUCCAGACUCCUACGGGAGGCAGCAGUGGGGAAUAUUGCACAAUGGGCGCAAGCCUGAUGCAGCCAUGCCGCGUGUAUGAAGAAGGCCUUCGGGUUGUAAAGUACUUUCAGCGGGGAGGAAGGGAGUAAAGUUAAUACCUUUGCUCAUUGACGUUACCCGCAGAAGAAGCACCGGCUAACUCCGUG
rnacentral:rRNA from 1 species